rnacentral:rRNA from 1 species
GCGGAAGGGUGAGUAAUGCAUGGGCAAUCUACCCUCAAGUUGGGAAUACCUCCGCGAAAGGGGAGUUAAUACCGAAUAUGAUCUCCCGGCGCAUGCCGGGGUGUUCAAAGGCGGGGACCUUCGGGCCUGCCGCUUGGGGAUGAGCCCGUGUCCUAUCAGCUUGUUGGUGAGGUAAUGGCUCACCAAGGCUUACGGGUAGCUGGUCUGAGAGGAUGGUCAGCCACACUGGGACUGAGACACUGCCCAGACUCCUACGGGAGGCUGCAGUCGAGAAUCAUUGUCAAUGCGCGAAAGCGUGAACAUGCGACGCCGCGUGGAGGAUGAAGGCCUUCGGGUUGUAAACUCCUGUAGUCAGGGAGCAAUCGUCGGUGGGUGAAUACCCCAUCGGCCUGAUCGUACCUGAACAGUAAGCCACGGCUAACUCUGUGCCAGCAGCCGCGGUAAUACAGAGGUGGCAAGCGUUGUUCGGAUUUACUGGGCGUAAAGGGUGCGUAGGCGGUUGCGUGUGUCGGAUGUGAAAUCUCACUGUUCAUCGGUGAAACUGCAUUCGAAACUACGUAACUCGAGUACUGGAGAGGAGAGCGGAAUUCUUGGUGUAGCGGUGAAAUGCGUUGAGAUCAAGAAGAACGCCGGUGGCGAAGGCGGCUCUCUGGACAGAAACUGACGCUGAGGCACGAAAGCUAGGGGAGCAAACAGGAUUAGAUACCCUGGUAGUCCUAGCCGUAAACGUUGUGCACUUGGUGUGGGAGGAGUUUACCCCUUCCGUGCCGUAGCUAACGUGUUAAGUGCACCGCCUGGGGAGUACGGCCGCAAGGCUAAAACUCAAAGAAAUUGACGGGGGCCCGCACAAGCGGUGGAGCAUGUGGCUUAAUUCGAUGCAACGCGAAGAACCUUACCUGGGCUUGACAUGGCGAGACUUCGGUCUAAACCGGUGAAAGUCGGUUGAACGCACACAGGUGCUGCAUGGCUGUCGUCAGCUCGUGCCGUGAGGUGUUGGGUUAAGUCCCGCAACGAGCGCAACCCUUGUG